AUCAUGCCAGAUAGAACA
rnacentral:snRNA from 1 species